GGCGGACGGGUGAGUAACGCGUGGGUAACCUGCCUCAUACAGGGGGAUAACAGUUAGAAAUGACUGCUAAUACCGCAUAAGACCACGGUACCGCAUGGUACAGUGGUAAAAACUCCGGUGGUAUGAGAUGGACCCGCGUCUGAUUAGGUAGUUGGUGGGGUAACGGCCUACCAAGCCGACGAUCAGUAGCCGACCUGAGAGGGUGACCGGCCACAUUGGGACUGAGACACGGCCCAG
rnacentral:rRNA from 1 species